rnacentral:rRNA from 1 species
UACGAAGGGGGCUAGCGUUGCUCGGAAUCACUGGGCGUAAAGGGCGCGUAGGCGGGCUCUUAAGUCAGGGGUGAAAGCCCAAGGCUCAACCUUGGAAUUGCCUUUGAUACUGAGGGCCUUGAGACCGGAAGAGGUCGGCGGAACUGCGGAGUGAGAGGUGAAAUUCGUAGAUAUUCGCAAGAACACCAGUGGCGAAGGCGGCCAACUGGACCAUUACUGACGCUG